rnacentral:rRNA from 1 species
AUUGAACGCUAGCGGGAUGCUUUACACAUGCAAGUCGAACGGAGUGGCGGACGGGUGAGUAAUAUAUCGGAACGUGCCUAGUAGCGGGGGAUAACUACUCGAAAGAGUGGCUAAACCCGCAUACUAUUGGAGCGGCCGAUGUCGGAUUAGCUAGUUGGUGGGGUAAAGGCUCACCAAGGCAACGAUCCGUAGCUGGUUUGAGAGGACGACCGGCCACACUGGGACUGAGACACGGCCCAGACUCCUACGGGAGGCAGCAGUGGGGAAUUUUGGGCAAUGGGGGAAACCCUGAGCCAGCCAUCCCGCGUGUAUGAUGAAGGCCUUCGGGUUGUAAAGUACUUUUGGCAGAGAAGCGGUAUCUGCAGAAUAAGCCCCGGCUAACUACGUGCCAGCAGCCGCGGUAAUAC